GUCUAUACCCAUGCCACCCUGAACAAGCCCGAUCCCGUCUGAUUUCAGAAGCUAAGCAGGGUCGGGACUGGUUAGUAGUUCUUGGAUGGGAGACCAUCUAGGAAGACCAGGUGCUGUAGGCA
rnacentral:rRNA from 1 species